rnacentral:rRNA from 1 species
GACGGAGGGUGCUAGCGUUGUUCGGAAUUACUGGGCGUAAAGCGUGCGCAGGCGGUUCGUUAAGUCAGCUGUGAAAGCCCCGGGCUUAACCUGGGAAUUGCGGUUGAAACUGGCGAACUAGAAUCUGGCAGAGGGGGGUGGAAUUCCACGUGUAGCAGUGAAAUGCGUAGAGAUGUGGAGGAACACCGAUGGCGAAGGCAGCCCCCUGGGCUGAGAUUGACGCUCAGGCACGAAAGCGUGGGGAGCAAACAGG